CACGUGCGGCUAUAAUGUGCUCGGAAUCUUGGAGAGAAGUGCAGAAUGCAGAGUACAGGGAGGGUGUGACAGUCUGCAGAGCCUCUCAGGAGGGAGGUAGAUGAGAUACAGCAUCCACAUAAAGAGCAUCCAGCUCUGAAGUCAUUCCUUCCCCCACUCUUCUCAUGGAUGAUUCUCGGGUUUUCAGUUGUCUCCAGGAAAUAAAUUGAUAACUGGAGAUACAGGUCCAGCAGCAGGUGUGGACAGUGAGCGGAUGGACGGAUUACACUCUUCAUUUCAGUGCAAGGUUCUACCAAGUUACCUGAAGUGCAUCGGGACACACAGAGGAGCCCGGAGUUCACAGCUACAGAUGACGAGCCGCCCGCAGGUUGUGAGGAGCAGUUACACAACCAGCAAUUACUCAGCCCGGAGGCAGCCAUCUCCUACGACACAGUGGCCGCAGCUCACAGGAAUGUCACGCUCCAGCUCAACACCAGUUACCUCCAUUCAUUCCGCUCCCGUCUGCAGGGAAUAUGUGAAACUUUUCUACAAGAGACUGUAAGAACAAAACCCUUGACCCAUCCAUUCUGUCAUCAUCAUAAAGAAAGGGUCAUAAUGGUGGAGGCCACGUCCAUUACUGGAGGUCGGGGUACAUGAAUUAACCCCUUCUUGACACCAAGUCGAAGGAAUAAACACCAGACCG